GAUGAACGCUAGCGGCAGGCUUAACACAUGCAAGUCGAGGGGUAUAGUUCUUCGGAGCUAGAGACCGGCGCACGGGUGCGUAACGCGUAUGCAAUCUACCUUUUACAGGGGGAUAGCCCAGAGAAAUUUGGAUUAAUACCCCAUAGUAUAAUUGAAUGGCAUCAUUUAAUUAUUAAAGUCACAACGGUAAAAGAUGAGCAUGCGUCCCAUUAGCUAGUUGGUAAGGUAACGGCUUACCAAGGCAACGAUGGGUAGGGGUCCUGAGAGGGAGAUCCCCCACACUGGUACUGAGACACGGACCAGACUCCUACGGGAGGCAGCAGUGAGGAAUAUUGGUCAAUGGGCGCAAGCCUGAACCAGCCAUGCCGCGUGCAGGAUGACGGUCCUAUGGAUUGUAAACUGCUUUUGCACAGGAAGAAACACUGAUUCGUGAAUCAGCUUGACGGUACUGUGAGAAUAAGGAUCGGCUAACUCCGUGCCAGCAGCCGCGGUAAUACGGAGGAUCCAAGCGUUAUCCGGAAUCAUUGGGUUUAAAGGGUCCGUAGGCGGUUUGGUAAGUCAGUGGUGAAAGCCCAUCGCUCAACGGUGGAACGGCCAUUGAUACUGCUAAACUUGAAUUAUUAGGAAGUAA
rnacentral:rRNA from 1 species